rnacentral:lncRNA from 1 species
UGGUAAAACAUAAUAUUUUUUUUAUAUCCAUCGUAGCUACUAAAUAAAGCUAUUUUCAGAUAAUUUAGAAGCAGAAGAACCUCCUACUGAACUGAAAUAAUAAUGAAGCACAUUGAAUAAACACCACACACUCAUAAUGGCCAGCUCUUGAACAAGUCAUAAUUUGUUCACAGAAUGAAAUGGAAAGAGAUAAAUGAACUACUGUAUAAAAUGAAGGUAAUUAUAGAAAAUUUGACCUAGAAAGAAACUGAAAAGGCAGAGAAAAAAAGACAUUUCUCAUAUGUAUUAUUUGUUCUGAAUAACAGAUGGAAUUAAGAAGAAAAAUCAGGCCAAAGAGGGACACAGUAUUCGAGGAGUCUGCUGCUCAACAUUUCCCUUUAGAUAUUACACUGUUUUAAAAAUAAGGCAUCUUCAGAUCAGUGAGCUAUGCACUGCUCCGCAAAAGUAUGCGGAUAGAGGCAGCCAAGCAUCUCUUACCUGAGGACCAAAAAGGUGUCAAGAAUGACUGAUAAAGGAGGUGACAACAAGAAGUCCCUACAAGAAAGAGAACCAAGACUUUGUGAAGGUAGAUCCCUCUGGGACUGGCCAACACCCA